rnacentral:rRNA from 1 species
GGUUAAGCGACUAAGCGUACACGGUGGAUGCCCUGGCAGUCAGAGGCGAUGAAGGGCGUGCUAAUCUGCGAUAAGCGCCGGUAAGGUGAUAUGAACCGUUAUAACCGGCGAUACCCGAAUGGGGAAACCCAGUGUGACUCGUCACACUAUCAUUAACUGAAUCCAUAGGUUAAUGAGGCGAACCGGGGGAACUGAAACAUCUAAGUACCCCGAGGAAAAGAAAUCAACCGAGAUUCCCCCAGUAGCGGCGAGCGAACGGGGAGGAGCCCAGAGCCAGAAUCAGCAUGUGUGUUAGUGGAAGCGUCUGGAAAGGCGCGCGAUACAGGGUGACAGCCCCGUACACAAAAGCGCAUGUGCUGUGAGCUCGAUGAGUAGGGCGGGACACGUGGUAUCCUGUCUGAAUAUGGGGGGACCAUCCUCCAAGGCUAAAUACUCCUGACUGACCGAUAGUGAACCAGUACCGUGAGGGAAAGGCGAAAAGAACCCCGGCGAGGGGAGUGAAAAAGAACCUGAAACCGUGUACGUACAAGCAGUGGGAGCCCCACCACCAAAGCAUUCUCUGGUGUUGAAGGCCCUGCAAAGCAGUAUCGCGGUGGCGGAGCGUCGUUUGCGACGCCCAACACACAAAACAAGCGGUGAGUGCUUUGGGGUGGGGUGACUGCGUACCUUUUGUAUAAUGGGUCAGCGACUUAUAUUCUGUAGCAAGGUUAACCGUAUAGG